UUCCUUGUGGCUUAGCUGGUAAAGAAUCUGCCUGCAAUGCAGGAGACCUGGGUUCAAUCCCUGGGUUGGGAA
rfam:TPA: Bos taurus chromosome 3, whole genome shotgun sequence.